GAUGAACGCUGGCGGCGUGCUUAACACAUGCAAGUCGAACGGGAUCCAAGGGGUGCUUGCACUUUUUGGUGAGAGUGGCGAACGGGUAAGUAACACGUGAGUAACCUGUCCUUUUCUUUGGGAUAAGCAUUCGAAAGGGUGUUUAAUACCUUAUGUUCUGUCUGCCUCGCAUGGGGUGGGUGGGAAAGGCUUUGGCCGGAUUUGGGUGGGCUCGCGGUCUAUCAGCUUGUUGGUGGGGUGAUGGCUUACCAAGGCUUUGACGGGUAGCCGGCCUGAGAGGGUGGUCGGUCACAUUGGGACUGAGAUACGGCCCAGACUCCUGCGGGAGGCAGCAGUGGGGGAUAUUGCACAAUGGGCGAAAGCCUGAUGCAGCGACGCCGCGUGGGGGAUGAAGGCCUUCGGGUUGUAAACUUCUUUUGCUCUGAACAAGGCAUGCCAGUGGGUGUGUUGAGUGUAGGGGUUGAUUAGCGCCGGCUAACUACGUG
rnacentral:rRNA from 1 species